AGGAAAAGAACUACAUUUCCCAUCUGCCCUGGCUGUCACAGGCUAAUAGCACCAGCUGCUUUCCAUUGCCCUAAGGAGUGAUUCUACUGCGGCAACGAGACCAAAUACAAUGAAAGUGUAUUGAGUAUUGAUGCUGCAAAAGAAGACGGAUCUUUUGGUAGGCUGGUUAAUGAUGACCACAAGCACCCAAAUGGCAGAAUGCAGAAGACUGAAGUGGACGGAAGCCCACAUCUUGGUCUGUUUGCUUUAACAGACUUUAAAGAAGGUGAUGAAAUUACCUACAAUUACGGAGGAGGAGACUGGCCUUGGUGUAGCAAGAUUUUCCAAAUGUCUAUUAAAUAUGCAGAUUAUGGAGGAGGACACUGCUGAGAGCAAUGGCCAGGAGAAACAGCAGCCAUCACAGUCUACACCGUUUCUGGAUCAUAAAUAUCAGAAUUGUGUAGUUUGCUGGCACUUUUAAUCCUGCCUUUCAAUCACACCUCUCCAUAAUUUCCAACAUAAGCAUCCCCUGGGACUCAGUAGGUUCCCUACUGCAUCUUCUCCAAGAAAACUGAGUACUCUUAGAUACUAUUUGGUACAUAUGCACAAACUGCAGUCAGAGUUUUCAUUCUUGAGACGUGAAAUGUAAGUUCCAGUCUGUAAGUUGCCAGACAAUAAUUUCUGUUGGGUGUAAGGGUGUGUGUUUGCUAUGUAACUAAUGUUUAUUCUUACAUUUAGGUAAAACAUCUACUCUGAAAAAGAGGAAGGCUCGGGAAGGAAAUGAGGUCCAUGCAGUGGAGAGACAUAUGAAGACCUUCAUGAUGUCAUGCUGUGUCCCAGGGAAGGUGGUCUGUGAAAACUGCAUUAGAUCUGAGUCUUUAUAUCUUAAAGAUAGAGACUGGCAAAGUGUCAAAUUCUAUGUCUAUAACUGCACUGUAGCUUACAAAAGAGAUAUAAACAAAGAUUAAUUACCACUUUGAUAGUAACACUUUACAUCUAUAUUACAGAUACUGUACAUCAUAACAUCUGUAGUAAUGCUUUAAUAAUAAGUUACGUUACACCUCUAGCCUUUUACUUUGUAAUGAACCGCUCAGCAUUUACUUCAUCAUAAACUAAUCAGGAACAAAUCAGGCAUUUAAAAUAUCCAUUAGGAUCUUUACCUACACCGUUAUAUUGAAUUAGAUCAAAUUGGUUUGGGCCGCCUUCUUCCAGUGGGUCCUUAUGCAGGUGACUGACAAGUUCAUGAGUAAGCCUAUUGGGCAAUAAAAGCUUCAGUGUGCUACCCAUUUACAUGUUUAGACUGCCUGGAAUCAAAAUUAGCUACCUCAACAUAUAUUAUUAAGUUGUUACUGUCACUUUUUAGCUUAGUCAGUUAAGUGGAUAUAGAAUAAAGAAAAAAAUAGUGUUUAUGACAUUUGGUUGUGUGUCUGUGUUGGGCUAGUAUCUUUAUUUUUCUCAAUAUGUUUAACUUUGAGCUGGCUAUAUGUAGUAAGCAGAAGUGUUAUGUCAAACUUAAAUGAGUCCAAGUUCAUUCAUGGCACAUGUGAGCUUAGUGGUUGUGCACUUUAAUGGGCAAAUAUUUGUUGACUUUUACAGUAAAGAAGCUCAAGACUCAAGUUGUCUUUAUAAUGUUGAAUAGACAGGGUUUUUUCAUCUGACUGACAAUUUUUCACUUGAUUAGAGAUCCAGACCAAUAAACAAAUCCUUCAUGUAGCUAAAAUAUCAAAAGGAUGCGUUUCUUUGUCAUUUUGACUUGCCAAAAUGACUGGGGAUAGUGUUAAUUUGUGAUGCAUGCCUGUGAUAAAUAAGUGAGGUUCAGUACAGCAAGCACCUCUACUUUCUAUUCCACAAAAAAAAUUGUAUACUUUGGAGCAGGAAAUGAAAAGCUUCUUAGAAUUAUAGCCUCAAAACUAAUAAUAGCACUGGUACCACCUUCCUUAAGAAGUUCCUAGGUUUCUCAAAGGGUUCCUCUGUUGGAAAUAGAAAGCUCCAAAAAAAAUGUAGUCUGUUAUCUAUUACAUGCAGAUAUUGAAAUUUCUGUAAGAGAGCUUUUUGAUAACCAAACUUACUGAUUGCAUAUUUCACAAAUAAGGCUAAGAGUCCUUAGUAUAAACAAUUAAGAACAAUUCUUCAAUAUAAUUUCAUGAGAAGCUUAAACCUUCAAAUAGAGAAAAUACACAUCAUAUCUGCUUUACAGACAGCCCUCUAAAUUAGACAUACUUAGUUUGUAAUUUUGUAUAAAUAAUUAUAGAGUUAAAUUGACAACUUUUGUUUUUAAAACCAUGUCCCAUUGUUGUUAUAUAAACUACCUGAUCUGUGUGUAUGCAAAUUAACUAUCUAGUGAUGUCCCCUCUGCAACAUGAAAACCAGCUAAUUUGCUGUGUAUGCAAAUUAGGUCCCCAUUAAUAAUGAGUUCUUGUUAUGUCCACAUUAGGUGUGAAAAAACCAAGCACAGAAAUUUUGAGAUUUAAAUCCAGAAUUUGAGAUGAUGUGUGUUCUCAGGCUUAAAUUAUACAUGCCUGAUUUUUUUCACAUCUGUAGGACGUCAGGAAAGUGGUGUCCCCACAAUACAUGGGUGGGAGUACUGACCCCGGAAUGUUAUAAUUACAAGAAUGUGUGUGUGUGAGAGAGAGAGAGAGAGAGAGUGAGUGAGAGUAUGUGUGUGUGUGUGUGUGUGUGUGUGUGUGUGUGUGUGUGUGUUAAAGGUACAGGAGCAGUCUGGCUGUGCAGCUACAGUAAAUGUUAAUAAUAAUAGGACGUUAUUUAAAAGCUCAUACAGCUGAUGUUAUUUUUAUUUAGUAGUUAAUUUAACAUGCUAUGCUAACAUGUAAACAAUAAGAUAAUAUUACCUGACGUACAUUUUACACUCAAUAUUGUCUGUUUCUAUUCUAUUUCACCAACAAAAAUAUUUCCAAACAAAGCCACAGCAGGUCCUGCUCCUUUUUCCUCCUAAUUCCCUCAUUUCUCCACCUUGGGAUUAAUAAAGUAUUAUCUUAUCUCAUCUUUUGUUCAAAUAGGAGAUUUCUUAUUUAUUUUAUUUAUUUUAUUUAUUUUGUUUAUUUUUAAAUAGGAGACUUUUUAAUACUUUUAUUAAAAAAUGGCUUCAUGUUUCUAUUAUAAUGAAGCAUUUGUUCAAACAAAAAUGUUUUCAGUCCUUUAAGGAUCAUUGUAACUGAUGAUGUUGUUGUUGUUAUUAUUAUUAUUAUUAUUAUUAUUAUUAUUAUUAUUAAUAAUAAUAAUAAUAAUAAUAAUGAUGAUGUGGUGUCAUGUCCUCUGAUUUCUGUGUGAGACAAACGCACUCAUAUUUCUGUUACAUGGGAAACUUUAGGGUUAGGGUGCAUACAUACUCUGCUUUAAAUAAACAGCAGGAGAUUGAGCACCAGUGACUUGACACCUACAGCUGACAAAGCUGCAAGCAGGGUUCAUACCUGCGCAAGAAAACCCCGCUGGAUUUAGAGUCUGACGCCUCAAAGUGAUUUAAGGAAACACUAGGCUAUUCUACUGGAGCCGACGGACGUGUUUGUCCAUGUUAGACCCUUCUCCAACAACAACUUUGCAGUCUCGUUUAUAUUCUCAGGUUUCCGCACGUGGACGCUCUCUUCAGUACAUUUACUUCAGUCAAGUAAUUAGAGCCUUUACUAGUUUACAUGAACACAUUCGGACGACUGACUUUACGUCAAAGCAUUUUCCUAGGAUAAAACACAAGCGUGUUUGAUGAAUGCCAAGGUGCUUUCUUGCUCAUCUGAAUAGAGUUCCCUCUGCAUUACGACGCAGUUUCAUAACAGGCUUCAAGUUGCGCAGGUGAAACCCCGGUGUAGUUCAAGUCCAGUGCCCUUUUGUCUCUGCAGUCGGCAAGAAAGUGCACACGAGUUAGUUGACACAGACCGCUGACAUGCCUUGAGCAGGCUUCAAGUUGCGUAGGGGAGACCCCAGUGCAUUCCAAGUCCAGUGCCAUUUUCUCUUGGCCAUCAGAGGAAGGGGGCAUGAGACAAGACUUAAGUGCAUUUCCUUGGUUCAUUUAUGUUCUGAUGGUUUAUGUUUUGAUCGUUUCAAUGUGCCAACCUUCUUUACCAGCCGUAAUCACGAUGGAGAAUGAGACAAGGCUUAAGAGUGACUCCAAGGCUCAUUGACGUUUUGAUCGCGCAUGGCUGCAAGUUUCCAAAGUGUCAUGGGUCUUUUCAAAUGGCUUCAUGUUUCAAUUAUAAUGAAGCAUUUGUUCAAACAAAAAUGUUUUCAGUCCUUUAAGGAUCAUUGUAACUGAUGUUUAUUAUUAUUAUUAUUAUUAUUAUUAUUAUUAUUAUUUUUAAUAAUAAUAAUAAUGCUAAUGCUGAUGUGGUGUCCUGUCCUCUGAUUUGUGUGUGAGAGAGAAACACACUCACAUUUCUGUUACAUGGUAAAGAGUAAGUGUAAUAUGGCUGUGUGUGUGUGUGUGUGUGUUUGAGAUCAGUGUUCUGAUAUUUC